rnacentral:rRNA from 1 species
GAUGAACGCUGGCGGCGUGCCUAAUACAUGCAAGUCGAACGAACAGGCGCGGAGCUUGCUGCUCGGUCGUUAUGGGCGGCGGGGUGAGUAAUAAGUGGUUAACAUCCUUCUCCGUCUGGGUUGACAUCGGGAAGACAGUGCUGAUACCGGGUGAUAUAUUGAGCCUGUUGCUUCAAUGGUGAAAGAAGGAUUUUGUGUCAGUUAUGGAUGGAUCCGCGCCGCAUUAGCUAGUUGGUAAGGUAACGGCUUACCAAGGCAACGAUGCGUAGCCGGCCUGAGAGGGUGGUCGGCCACACUGGAACUGAGGCAGGGUCCAGACGCCUACGGGGGGCAGCAGUAGGGAAUCUUCCGCAAUGGGCGAAAGCCUGCCGGAGCAACGCCGCGUGAGGGAUGAAGGUCUUCGGAGCGUAAAACUCUGUUAUUGGGGAAGAAGAAAUGUGUAAGUAACUAUGCACGUCUUGACGGUACCUAAUCAGAAAGCCCCGGCUAACUACGUG